rnacentral:rRNA from 1 species
UCUACGGGAGGCAGCAGUGGGGAAUAUUGCGCAAUGGGCGAAAGCCUGACGCAGCGACGCCGCGUGAGGGAUGAAGGUCUUCGGAUCGUAAACCUCUGUCAGCAGGGAAGAACGGUCACUGUGCUAAUCAGCAGUGAAUUGACGGUACCUGCAAAGGAAGCACCGGCUAACUCCGUGCCAGCAGCCGCGGUAAUACGGAGGGUGCGAGCGUUAAUCGGAAUUACUGGGCGUAAAGCGCUCGUAGGCGGUAUGUCAAGUCAAGGGUGAAAUCCCCGCGCUCAACGUGGGAACUGACUUUGAAACUGGCAAACUGGAGUGUGUGAGAGGAUAGUUGAAUUCCAGGUGUAGGAGUGAAAUCCGUAGAUAUCUGGAGGAACAUCAGUGGCGAAGGCGACUAUCUGGCACAUAACUGACGCUGAGGAGCGAAAGCGUGGGUAGCAAACAGGAUUAGAUACCCCAGUAGUC